AGGCCGACAAAUCCUCCGUAUACAAAGAAAAUUUUUCUGUAUACGAAGCGAUAACUGUACCUGUAUCUGUAAUCAUACAAAACUACAACUAGUAGUAUAGAGCUGCUAAACUGAAAAAACAUAUAUAAAUAAUAUCAGGUUCCCUAUACAUACAUAGUCUCCGGAUACAUAACACUCGCUCCUCGUGAUGACUCCACUGCACUUUUACAUAAAGAAUGACCCGGUUGCGCAAUUCUUUCAUCUCCCGAGCAAAAAUUCGCACCGGUCGCUCCUCAUAUCUCAAGUCCUCGCCAAGCUCCAGCGGAGUGAAGUCGAUCAUGUGCGAAGGGUCAAACACGUAUCUC
rnacentral:lncRNA from 1 species